CAGGAAGCAAGAUACACUUGUCGCAGGUUUUACGAAAAGAAGUCAUGUAAAAAUUUCAUUGAAUUCUUUCGAACUGGCCAUGCUCAAACUCAUAAGAGAAACGAGAAGACGAGUACACAAUUGUAUGAAAAUCAGUUUUCAUAUUUGUGAAAAUCAAUUAAUUCGAAGCUAAAAACAGGACUUAGAAAAGAUGGUGUUUGUUUUGCUACACCUUGGACUUUUUGUGUCUUUAUCGCUUGGCGAAAAGGACUGGAGCACAAAAGAUAAAUUCACUAAGUCACACAAGCUUUCUGUUUUAUUUGAUACGAAAUUGGUAUCACUAAUUAGAGGAAUAUGGCGAGGAACUUGGUAUUUUGAUGCUGCCGAAUCAGGUGAACGGUGAUGUAUAUAUUAUGUUGUCAUGGCCAGAAAUGGAGGACAUCAAGCGGUCGGGCGUGCGGGCUCAGGUUUUCUUGAUAAUUCAAUGCACUAUACAGAUCAGUGGUUCAGUUUUGGCAAAAUGGCUGUUUAUUUUUACUAGUAUAGCUCAGUGAGUUUUACCGAGAACUAAAUAAUCUGAGCACGGCAGAUUUAUAAAUUGAAAAUAAGAAGAGAUAAGCUAAUGAAUGGCUUUCAACACAUAAUUUCCAUUGCAAACAAGUAUACAUAGGGCGCAAAGGCGGAAUAUCCGACAUUGCAAAUACAACCAGAUAUAUAGAAAACCAGCAAAAUUAUAAAAUAUAACAAACUUUACGCCAACCGAGUCUUGAUCGAUGCUCAAAUUUCAAAAG